rnacentral:rRNA from 1 species
UGGGGAAUAUUGCACAAUGGACGAAAGUCUGAUGCAGCAAUGCCGCGUGUGUGAAGAAGGCCUUAGGGUUGUAAAGCACUUUCAGACGUGAGGAAAAGUAAUAAUUUAAUAAAUUGUUACCUUGACGUUAACGUCAGAAGAAGGACCGGCUAACUCCGUGCCAGCAGCCGCGGUAAUACGGAGGGUCCAAGCGUUAAUCGGAAUUACUGGGCGUAAAGCGCGCGUAGGCGGAUAUUUAAGUCAGAUGUGAAAUCCCUGGGCUCAACCUAGGAACUGCAUUUGAUACUGGAUAUCUAGAGUAUGGUAGAGGUGAGUGGAAUUUCAGGUGUAGCGGUGAAAUGCGUAGAGAUCUGAAGGAACAUCAGUGGCGAAGGCGACUCACUGGGCCAUUACUGACGCUGAGGUGCGAAAGCGUGGGUAGCAAACA